rnacentral:rRNA from 1 species
GACGAACGCUGGCGGCGUGCCUAAUACAUGCAAGUAGAACGCUGAAGGAGGAGCUUGCUUCUCUGGAUGAGUUGCGAACGGGUGAGUAACGCGUAGGUAACCUGCCUGGUAGCGGGGGAUAACUAUUGGAAACGAUAGCUAAUACCGCAUAAUAGCAGUGUUUGCUUGAAAAUGGUUUAAAAGGUGCAUUUGCACAACUACAGGAUGGACCUGCGUUGUAUUAGCAAGUUGGUGGGGUAACGGCUCACCAAGGCGACGAUACAUAGCCGACCUGAGAGGGUGAUCGGCCACACUGGGACUGAGACACGGCCCAGACUCCUACGGGAGGCAGCGGUAGGGAAUCUUCGGCAAUGGACGGAAGUCUGACCGAGCAACGCCGCGUGAGUGAAGAAGGUUUUCGGAUCGUAAAGCUCUGUUGUAAGAGAAGAACGAGUGUGAGAGUGGAAAGUUCACACUGUGACGGUAUCUUACCAGAAAGGGACGGCUAACUACGUG